rnacentral:rRNA from 1 species
GAUAUGUGAAUACAUAGCAUAUCAGAAGGCACACCCGGAGAACUGAAACAUCUUAGUACCCGGAGGAAGAGAAAGAAAAUUCGAUUCCCUUAGUAGCGGCGAGCGAAACGGGAAGAGCCCAAACCAACAAGCUUGCUUGUUGGGGUUGUAGGACACUCUAUACGGAGUUACAAAGGACGACAUUAGACGAAUCAUCUGGAAAGAUGAAUCAAAGAAGGUAAUAAUCCUGUAGUCGAAAAUGUUGUCUCUCUUGAGUGGAUCCUGAGUACGACGGAGCACGUGAAAUUCCGUCGGAAUCUGGGAGGACCAUCUCCUAAGGCUAAAUACUCUCUAGUGACCGAUAGUGAACCAGUACCGUGAGGGAAAGGUGAAAAGCACCCCGGAAGGGGAGUGAAAUAGAACCUGAAACCGUGUGCUUACAAGUAGUCAGAGCCCGUUAAUGGGUGAUGGCGUGCCUUUUGUAGAAUGAACCGGCGAGUUACGAUUUGAUGCAAGGUUAAGCAGUAAAUGUGGAGCCGUAGCGAAAGCGAGUCUGAAUAGGGCGUUUAGUAUUUGGUCGUAGACCCGAAACCAGGUGAUCUACCCUUGGUCAGGUUGAAGUUCAGGUAACACUGAAUGGAGGACCGAACCGACUUACGUUGAAAAGUGAGCGGAUGAACUGAGGGUAGCGGAGAAAUUCCAAUCGAACCUGGAGAUAGCUGGUUCUCUCCGAAAUAGCUUUAGGGCUAGCCUCAAGUGAUGAUUAUUGGAGGUAGAGCACUGUUUGGACGAGGGGCCCCUCUCGGGUUACCGAAUUCAGACAAACUCCGAAUGCCAAUUAAUUUAACUUGGGAGUCAGAACAUGGGUGAUAAGGUCCGUGUUCGAAAGGGAAACAGCCCAGACCACCAGCUAAGGUCCCAAAAUAUAUGUUAAGUGGAAAAGGAUGUGGCGUUGCCCAGACAACUAGGAUGUUGGCUUAGAAGCAGCCAUCAUUUAAAGAGUGCGUAAUAGCUCACUAGUCGAGUGACACUGCGCCGAAAAUGUACCGGGGCUAAACAUAUUACCGAAGCUGUGGAUUGUCCUUUGGACAAUGGUAGGAGAGCGUUCUAAGGGCGUUGAAGCAUGAUCGUAAGGACAUGUGGAGCGCUUAGAAGUGAGAAUGCCGGUGUGAGUAGCGAAAGACGGGUGAGAAUCCCGUCCACCGAUUGACUAAGGUUUCCAGAGGAAGGCUCGUCCGCUCUGGGUUAGUCGGGUCCUAAGCUGAGGCCGACAGGCGUAGGCGAUGGAUAA